rnacentral:rRNA from 1 species
CAGCCGCCGCGGGAAUACGUAGGUGGCAAGCGUUGUCCGGAAUUAUUGGGCGUAAAGGGCUCGCAGGCGGUUUCUUAAGUCUGAUGUGAAAGCCCCCGGCUCAACCGGGGAGGGUCAUUGGAAACUGGGAAACUUGAGUGCAGAAGAGGAGAGUGGAAUUCCACGUGUAGCGGUGAAAUGCGUAGAGAUGUGGAGGAACACCAGUGGCGAAGGCGACUCUCUGGUCUGUAACUGACGCUGAGGAGCGAGAGCGUGGGGAGCGUACAGGAUUAGAGACCCCUGUAGUCCCUGUCUCUUAUAC